rnacentral:rRNA from 1 species
GACAGGAGGGUGCAAACGUUGUUCGGAAUUACUGGGCGUAAAGCGCGUGUAGGCGGCUUCGCAAGUCGGGUGUGAAAUCCCACGGCUCAACCGUGGAAGUGCAUUCGAAACUGCAAGGCUAGAGUCCUGGAGAGGAAGGUGGAAUGCUUGGUGUGAGAGGUGAAAUUCGUAGAUAUCAAGCGGAACACCGGUGGCGAAGGCGACCUCUGGACAGUGACUGACGCUGAGACGCGAAAGCGUGGG